UACGGAGGGUGCAAGCGUUAAUCGGAAUUACUGGGCGUAAAGAGCGCGUAGGUGGUUUGGUAAGUUGGAUGUGAAAGCCCCGGGCUCAACCUGGAAACGGCAUCCGAAACUGGCAAGCUAGAGUACGGUAGGGGGUGGUGGAAUUUCCUGUGUAGCGGUGAAAUGCGUAGAUAUAGGAAGGAACACCGGUGGCGAAGGCGACCACCUGGACUGAUACUGACACUGAGGUGCGAAAGCGUGGGGAGCAAACAGG
rnacentral:misc_RNA from 1 species